rnacentral:rRNA from 1 species
AGAGUUUGAUCAUGGCUCAGACAACGCUGGCGGCAUGCCUAACACAUGCAAGUCGAACGAGACCUUCGGGUCUAGUGGCGCACGGGUGCGUAACGCGUGGGAAUCUGCCCUUCGGUUCGGAACAACAGUUAGAAAUGACUGCUAAUACCGGAUAAUGACGUAAGUCCAAAGAUUUAUCGCCGAAGGAUGAGCCCGCGUAAGAUUAGGUAGUUGGUGGGGUAAUGGCCUACCAAGCCGACGAUCUUUAGCUGGUCUGAGAGGAUGAUCAGCCACACUGGGACUGAGACACGGCCCAGACUCCUACGGGAGGCAGCAGUGGGGAAUAUUGGACAAUGGGCGAAAGCCUGAUCCAGCAAUGCCGCGUGAGUGAUGAAGGCCUUAGGGUUGUAAAGCUCUUUACCAGGGAUGAUAAUGACAGUACCUGGAGAAUAAGCUCCGGCUAACUCCGUG